GAAACUUGAAAUCCAAUUUCUGUAGAAAGAAACCAUAUCAAAUUUAUGGAACUCAGAUAAUGCCCAUAAAUAUCAAGCAAGCUAGUUCUCAAGAAUAAACAAACUUUCAGGCAAACUAGCCAACAAGUUAACAACCACUCUUCACCUCCAACAACAGUAGACCAAGAUAACUGUGGCCCAUAUCCUUGUCAACAGUCACUUUCUAACUAAGAAAAUAAAAAUUAAUUGCUUGAUCAUAGGUUAACUGGAUUCUUUUCAAGGAAGGAAAAUGAAAUUAGCCAAAGACCAAAUAAUGCA
rnacentral:misc_RNA from 1 species